AUGAACGCUGGCGGUGUGCCUAAUACCUGCCAGUCGCGCGAACAGACGAGGAGCUUACUCCUCUGACGUUAGCGGCGGACGGGUGAGUAACACGUGGAUAACCUACCUAUAAGACUGGGAUAACUUCGGGAAACCGGAGCUAAUACCGGAUAACAUGUUGAACCGCAUGGUUCAACAGUGAAAGACGGUCUUGCUGUCACUUAUAGAUGGAUCCGCGUCGCAUUAGCUAGUUGGUAAGGUAACGGCUUACCAAGGCAACGAUGCGUAGCCGACCUGAGAGGGUGAUCGGCCACACUGGAACUGAGACACGGUCCAGACUCCUACGGGAGGCAGCAGUAGGGAAUCUUCCGCAAUGGGCGAAAGCCUGACGGAGCAACGCCGCGUGAGUGAAGAAGGUCUUCGGAUCGUAAAACUCUGUUAUUAGGGAAGAACAAAUGUGUAAGUAACUAUGCACGUCUUGACGGUACCUAAUCAGAAAGCCACGGCUAACUACGUG
rnacentral:rRNA from 1 species